rnacentral:rRNA from 1 species
GACGAACGCUGGCGGCGUGCUUAACACAUGCAAGUCGAACGGAAAGGCCCUGCUUUUGUGGGGUGCUCGAGUGGCGAACGGGUGAGUAACACGUGAGUAACCUGCCCUUGACUUUGGGAUAACUUCAGGAAACUGGGGCUAAUACCGGAUAGGAGCUCCUGCUGCAUGGUGGGGGUUGGAAAGUUUCGGCGGUUGGGGAUGGACUCGCGGCUUAUCAGCUUGUUGGUGGGGUAGUGGCUUACCAAGGCUUUGACGGGUAGCCGGCCUGAGAGGGUGACCGGCCACAUUGGGACUGAGAUACGGCCCAGACUCCUACGGGAGGCAGCAGUGGGGAAUAUUGCACAAUGGGCGGAAGCCUGAUGCAGCAACGCCGCGUGCGGGAUGACGGCCUUCGGGUUGUAAACCGCUUUCGCCUGUGACGAAGCGUGAGUGACGGUAAUGGGUAAAGAAGCACCGGCUAACUACGUGCCAGCAGCCGCGGUGAUACGUAGGGUGCGAGCGUUGUCCGGAUUUAUUGGGCGUAAAGGGCUCGUAGGUGGUUGAUCGCGUCGGAAGUGUAAUCUUGGGGCUUAACCCUGAGCGUGCUUUCGAUACGGGUUGACUUGAGGAAGGUAGGGGAGAAUGGAAUUCCUGGUGGAGCGGUGGAAUGCGCAGAUAUCAGGAGGAACACCAGUGGCGAAGGCGGUUCUCUGGGCCUUUCCUGACGCUGAGGAGCGAAAGCGUGGGGAGCGAACAGGCUUAGAUACCCUGGUAGUCCACGCUGUAAACGGUGGGUACUAGGUGUGGGGUCCAUUCCACGGGUUCCGUGCCGUAGCUAACGCUUUAAGUACCCCGCCUGGGGAGUACGGCCGCAAGGCUAAAACUCAAAGGAAUUGACGGGGCCCCGCACAAGCGGCGGAGCAUGCGGAUUAAUUCGAUGCAACGCGUAGAACCUUACCUGGGUUUGACAUGGAUCGGGAGCGCUCAGAGAUGGGUGUGCCUCUUUUGGGGUCGGUUCACAGGUGGUGCAUGGCUGUCGUCAGCUCGUGUCGUGAGAUGUUGGGUUAAGUCCCGCAACGAGCGCAACCCUUGUUCACUGUUGCCAGCACGUUAUGGUGGGGACUCAGUGGAGACCGCCGGGGUCAACUCGGAGGAAGGUGGGGAUGACGUCAAGUCAUCAUGCCCCUUAUGUCCAGGGCUUCACGCAUGCUACAAUGGCUGGUACAGAGAGUGGCGAGCCUGUGAGGGUGAGCGAAUCUCGGAAAGCCGGUCUCAGUUCGGAUUGGGGUCUGCAACUCGACCUCAUGAAGUCGGAGUCGCUAGUAAUCGCAGAUCAGCAACGCUGCGGUGAAUACGUUCCCGGGACU